ensembl:lncRNA
AGACGCGUGUGAUAUUACCACUUGGAGAUCUGAGAGAACUCUAAAUUAGGAAACCUACCAUUUCAUUUGUUCUCUACAUUCUCCACAACGUGAUGCACACCAGCCCUUUUGCUUUUCUUCUUGCUGUGUGCUCCCACGGAUAUAUAAUCCUCAGGGUUCAAAACCGUAUAAAGAAAAUGUAGUUUGAAAGGGUUUAUUACCACAGGUUUGGGUUAAUCUUAGUCGUUUCAAUGCAACAGUGGGAUUAGAAACCUAGAAAAAAAGAGAUUUAUGAAAAGGUCCAAGACUUCUCUGGCUUGUGACCUAUUUUGUUCACCAGUUUCUGAAGAGAAGAAACUAAAGGAUUUCACAAACCUUUCUGUGUGAUCGAUAGAGUAAUGGUUUAGGUUUAAUCAUGCUGCAUGGUAAUUCUUGCAAACUACUGCUGAGCAGAAGAUUCUAAGAAAGGAGCAAGUACCCGCAAAGAGAAGGAAAUGAUAUUUGCUAUGACGAAGAGUAGCACAAGCUGUCUCCAGUUGUUGAAGUCACUGAGGUCACCCUUUCACAGUAUCCUACUCAUACUUCCAUAUUUCUAUUAUUCAGAAAGGCUUUUCCUCUCUGCCUUCCUAGAUUUCAUUAAGCACCUCUAUCGGUAUCAUCGGGGAGGUAUAUCUUCUUCUGUUCUAUCCCUUGCUGCUUUUCAAAGUUAACUGAAGAAAAGUCUCCUUUGCCAGAUACUGUGUUGGGUUUUUUUCUUGACUGGACUCUUCUUCAGUGGCUCAACAAUGAGUGAGCUCUCAGCGGCUGCAGAGGUUAAGAAUGCCUCCAUUAUACUCACUCAGCAUGUUUUACUAUUGAUUUCUGCCUCUGACCACGGAUAGAGGACAUGCUUGAGCUGGCAGAAGGAAUCACAUCAUGACAUAGACAUCUCAGAAGAAGCAUGCAUUAUGGAAAUCUUCUUAACAAAGAAAGUUCCUCAGUGAUCAUUAGCAUUAGAGGUUCUCUCAACUCUCCCUCACAAAUGGCAAUGGAAAGGAAAGAAGGGAACAUUUUCAAAUCUUGCAAAAACUGACCCUGUUCCUUUGUGCUGCUGUGUCAAAAGAGCUUUAAAUGCCUUUUCAUUCCAAAUCAGUAUAAUUGCUUUUGUUCAAAACCAGGUCCAGGCUUCUCAGCAGUGGAAGCAAAGUAAAAAUGUGCACUGUUUCAAGGUCAAGGAACUAAGUCACUUAUUUUGCAGUUCCUCAUCACUGUCAGGGGUAAAAUUAAGUUUUGUGGGGAUGGCAGAAGACUUUCCAAAGUAGAAAAUAUAUGAGGUGGAGUGGAAGGGGUUGGUGGGAAGCCAGGUUGCUGGUCAAUGUGCAGCCUCACCAAGACUCUGCCUUCAUCCUCAGUGCCACACAGAGCUGGACUCAGUGUGGAGCUGAGUGGGUAGGCAGUGAAAUGGUGGCCUCUUCAGGCUUUUGGGCAUGUGUGGGAGUCACCUGAACUACCUGAUCUGUAAGACCAUGGUUGCCUGUUGUAGCUAAGCCACUCUAACACGUAUGGCUUGAAAAUGGGUCUGUUAGCUCCCAACAAGACUCGUGCCUUUCUGAUCUUCUUUUCCUUUUCCUUCCCUUCUUCUACCUACCUACUCUUGUUCCUUUUCAAUAGGAUUAAUUUUCUUCCAGUUCAGUAACCUGAACUGGAUCACUAAAGUGUCAAGUAAAUACUGAAAAUAAAAUAAAA